UACGAAGGGGGCUAGCGUUGCUCGGAAUCACUGGGCGUAAAGGGUGCGUAGGUGGCCAACUAAGUCAGACGUGAAAUCCCUCGGCUUAACCGGGGAACUGCGUCUGAUACUGGAUGGCUUGAGUUCGGGAGAGGGAUGCGGAAUUCCAGGUGUAGCGGUGAAAUGCGUAGAUAUCUGGAGGAACACCGGUGGCGAAGGCGGCAUCCUGGACCGACACUGACACUGAGGAGCGAAAGCCAGGGGAGCAAACGGG
rnacentral:rRNA from 1 species